rnacentral:rRNA from 1 species
AAUUUGAAGAGUUUGAUCAUGGCUGAGAUUGUACGCUGGCGGCAGGCCUAACUCAUGCCAGUCGAGCGGUAGCACAGAGUGCUUGCUCUCGGGUGACGAGCGGCGGUCGGGUGAGUAAUGUCUGGGAAACUGCCAGAUGGAGGGGGAUAACUACUGGAAACGUGAGCUAAUACCGCAUAACGUCGCAAGACCAUAGUGGGGGACCUUCGGGCC